CCUAAGAAAAUGCCCACUUUGCCCAUUUUCUUCAUGCCAAUGUCAACCACGCCUCUUUUAACAGCCAAAGCAGGAUGCUGCAGCCGCCUUUAAUCCACACCGAGGAAGCAAGUCUGAGGCGUUUGGACAGACCGAGGAGCUCAGAGAGUCACUGCUACGUCAUGCUGAAAGGAUCCUGCUGAGGUGGUUCAACAUCUGAACAGGAUCCUUGUGACGCCUACCUUAGGAGUUUUUCUGGGUCUAACAGGUCAGUGACCCAGGGCACACCAGCUCUCAGUGGAGGGAUUAUUUAUCCCAUCAGACUGAAAACCACCCGAGGAUACUCCAGCAAGAGCUGAAGACGGUUCUGUGCAGUGGACGGAACUGGAGAGACAGGAAACCAUGUGAGGAGAAAGGAGAUGAGGAGACAUGAGUUUGUGGAGGUGAGCGUGGCUGGGGCGAGGCUGCAGGAGAGAGAGAUAGAGGUGGAGAGCGCUCAGGAGAGCAGAGCCAGGUGAGUGAUUGACAGAGCUAGCACCCAGUUACGAAUCACUCACUCCCUUUAGCAUGGAUGGACCUCGGAUGGAGGAGGCAUGAGAGAUGCCCGGGGGAGCAGGAGCACAGCAGGAGAGCAGGAGGAGAUCCUCUCAACUCAACUCAACUUUAUUUAUAAAGCUCUUUAAAAAGCCACAGCUGGGACAAAGUGCCGUACAUAAAAUAGAAAUAGAACAUAAAACAUAAAAAACAAGAUAAAACAAUAACAGUGUUAAAACGAUAUAAACAAAGGGUUACAACAAUAGCAGAGUCUGAUGCUGGGUUGAAAGGCAAAUAAUAAAAAAGGGUUUUAAGAUGAGUUUUAAAAAUGGACAGUGAGGCGUUUGUCUGAUGUGCAGCGGGAGGUCAUUCCAUAGUUUGUGACCAGCAGUAGAAAAAGCUCUUUCCCCUCUGAGCUUCCGCUUAGACCUCGGUACCUCCCGGAGCAGCUCGUCAGCUGACCUGAGGCGCCGGGCAGGAGCGUAAGCAUGGAGCAGCUCAGAGAGGUAAG